GAGCAAUCGCGUCAGUGGCAGACGGGUGAGUAACGCGUGGGAACAUACCCUCCGGUUCGGAAUAGCUCAGGGAAACUUGGAUUAAUACCGGAUACGGCUGAGAGGCGAAAGAUUGAUCGCCGGAGGAUUGGCCCGCGUUCGAUUAGCUAGUUGGUGAGGUAACGGCUCACCAAGGCGAUGAUCGAUAGCUGGUCUGAGAGGAUGAUCAGCCACAUUGGGACUGAGACACGGCCCAAACUCCUACGGGAGGCAGCAGUGGGGAAUAUUGGACAAUGGGCGCAAGCCUGAUCCAGCCAUGCCGCGUGAGUGAUGACGGCCUUAGGG
rnacentral:rRNA from 1 species